rnacentral:lncRNA from 1 species
AUGGUUACUAUCCAUAGGGAUUCAAAUUGUGCUAUUUCUUAGACUAGCUUAUUCUUGCCUCUGUAAAAAAAACUCCCAGAAAAUGUGGUUAAUAUGUUGUUUCUUUGUAAUAUAGCUGUAUAAAAUUUUGAAUGACUGUAAACAGGCGUGAAUCGUAUCUCAAAGUGAAAGGCUCUUUGAAUCUGCUGAUUAAUUGAGCUGUUAAUUUAUGGAGAUAUUAUGGGAAGAAUAAUCUGAAGAUCUAUGUACAAGUGUUUCUGUCACUUGUUGAUAACUAAAAAGGAUAUUUAGGAGAAGAAAGAUUGCAUUAACAUAUCAAGAAAGUAAAAUCUACUAUUAUAAUGCUUUAUAAUCAUGACCAUUAUAUGUAAAUACUGCUCAUUUUGGUAUUGUAAAAUAUUAUGUCUCACGGUUCAUUAGACAUGGUAUUAAUGCGAGACUGAAGGCCGC